CCCUUAGAUGUUCUGGGCCGCACGCGCGCUACACUGACGAAGUCAGCGAGCAUCUCCUUCGCCGAAAGGUGCGGGGAAUCUUGUGAAACUUUGUCGUGCUGGGGAUUGAUUUUUGAAAUUCUUGAUCAUCAACGAGGAAUGCCUAGUAGGCGCAAGUCAUCAGCUUGCGUCGAUUACGUCCCUGCCCUUUGUACACACCGCCCGUCGCUCCUACCGAUUGGGUGUGCUGGUGAAAUGUUCGGAUCGGCCGUUUGUCGCGGUUUCCGCGGCUCGUGGCUGAGAAGUUCAUUAAACCCUCCCACCUAGAGGAAGGAGAAGUCGUAACA
rnacentral:rRNA from 1 species